GACGAACGCUGGCGGCGUGCCUAAUACAUGCAAGUCGAGCGCAGGAAACUGACGGAACUCUUCGGAGGGAAGGCAGUGGAAUGAGCGGCGGACGGGUGAGUAACACGUAAGGAACCUGCCUCAAGGAUUGGGAUAACUCCGCGAAAUCGGAGCUAAUACCGGAUAGUUCAUCGGACCGCAUGGUCCGUUGAUGAAAGGCGCUCCGGCGUCACCUUGAGAUGGCCUUGCGGUGCAUUAGCUAGUUGGUGGGGUAACGGCCCACCAAGGCGACGAUGCAUAGCCGACCUGAGAGGGUGAUCGGCCACACUGGGACUGAGACACGGCCCAGACUCCUACGGGAGGCAGCAGUAGGGAAUCUUCCACAAUGGACGAAAGUCUGAUGGAGCAACGCCGCGUGAGUGGUGAAGGUUUUCGGAUCGUAAAACUCUGUUGUAAGGGAAGAACACGUACGAGAGGGAAUGCUCGUACCUUGACGGUACCUUACGAGAAAGCCACGGCUAACUACGUGCCAGCAGCCGCGGUAACAC
rnacentral:rRNA from 1 species